GCAGUAGCCGCGGGAAAACAGAGGGUGCGAGCGUUAAUCGGAUUUACUGGGCGUAAAGCGUGCGUAGGCGGCUUUUUAAGUCGGAUGUGAAAUCCCUGAGCUUAACUUAGGAAUUGCAUUCGAUACUGGGAAGCUAGAGUAUGGGAGAGGAUGGUAGAAUUCCAGGUGUAGCGGUGAAAUGCGUAGAGAUCUGGAGGAAUACCGAUGGCGAAGGCAGCCAUCUGGCCUAAUACUGACGCUGAGGUACGAAAGCAUGGGGAGCAAACAGGAUUAGAUACCCCCGUAGUCCCUGUCUCUUAUAA
rnacentral:rRNA from 1 species